GCUUUUCCCCUUUCGGGGGACAGAGUGACAGGUGGUGCAUGGUUGUCGUCAGCUCGUGUCGUGAGAUGUUGGGUUAAGUCCCGCAACGAGCGCAACCCUUGACCUUAGUUGCCAGCAUUCAGUUGGGCACUCUAAGGUGACUGCCGGUGACAAACCGGAGGAAGGUGGGGAUGACGUCAAAUCAUCAUGCCCCUUAUGACCUGGGCUACACACGUGCUACAAUGGAUGGUACAAAGGGUUGCGAAGCCGCGAGGCCAAGCCAAUCCCAAAAAGCCAUUCUCAGUUCGGAUUGUAGGCUGCAACUCGCCUACAUGAAGCCGGAAUUGCUAGUAAUCGCGGAUCAGCAUGCCGCGGUGAAUACGUUCCCGGGCCUUGUACACACCGCCCGUCACACCACGAGAGUUUGUAACACCCGAAGUCGGUGGGGUAACCCUUUUGGGAGCCAGCCGCCGA
rnacentral:rRNA from 1 species